UACGGGGGGGGCAAGCGUUGUUCGGAAUUACUGGGCGUAAAGGGCGCGUAGGCGGCCAGAUUAGUCAGGCGUGAAAGCCCUGGGCUCAACCUGGGGACUGCGCUUGAUACGGUUUGGCUUGAGGACGGAAGAGGCUCGCGGAAUUCCCAGUGUAGAGGUGAAAUUCGUAGAUAUUGGGAAGAACACCGGUGGCGAAGGCGGCGAGCUGGUCCGUACCUGACGCUGAGGCGCGACAGCGUGGGGAGCGAACAGG
rnacentral:rRNA from 1 species